AUUUCACUGCAGCACACAACUUUCCGUGUGCAAGAGCUAUCAAUAAAACCACGUCUUGCAUGAACUGCAAGCUAGAUCCCGGGGUUCUUGAGUUGGGCGGAGCGACAGGACGUGCGCAGCUGUCGCUCAUUGACAUCACCCUUUUCAUACUCACCUGUGGCGACUGGAUGGCACAUGCAACCUAACCACUUGUGGAAACUUCAUCAGCACCGAAGGACCUGACUCAUUCUUUGGACGCUAUGACGACUGCAGCCUGCAGAAGGUGUAAUCGCACACACACACACACACACACACACACACACACACACACACACACACACACACACACACACUUUGAAGAGGGUGGGUUUUUGAAAGGUUCAGUCAGUGUACAUUAUUCUUGUGUGACGCCUGAAUGGAAUAUGUAAUUCUUUUAUAUGACGCAACCCCCGUAAUUUCCUUCAAUAAUCCUUUUUGCAGCAUAACAAGAUACUGUAGGCCUCUUUCUAAGUAGCCCAAUACUAAUAAUGAUUCUGACAGUGUUUCCCAUACAUUUGUUUAUUGGGCCGCCACUGACUCAUAAACACAUCAUAAUGGGACUGUCUGUGAAUGGAGCUUGUCGGGUCAGCUCCAUACAGGAGAUGGCAUUGUAACUCUGCUUUUCAACAUACCUCAACGCACCUGGUCUGCCAAAGAUUGAGACGACGCUACAGGAGGGAUCCGUGUUGCCAAUUUAGCGACUAAUAUUCAGACUAGCGACAAACUUCGCAACUUUUUCUGGUCUUAUGGGACACUUUUGGAGACUUAACAAGAAAGCACAUAGCAUUCUUUUCAACAAGCAGUGGGCGCUACAAGGACAAUGUCAUGAAGAUCUGAUAAUGAAGUUGUUAAGGGGAAGAAAAAAAAGAGUCAAAAGCUAAUGUUGCGAGUCUAAAGUUUAAUAAUAUGAGAUUAUUUGGGAUUUUACUGGAGUAAAGUUGCACUGUAUUUGUUCGACAAAAAGUCAUUAUAUUAAGAAUUACACUAAAAAAGACGUAAUGUUAGAAGAAUAAAGUCAUAAUAUUACGAAACCUUUAAAGCUGUUGAAGAAACUAAAGCCUUAACUACAUUUUUUUGCAAUAAAAAAAGUCAAAUGUUACGAGAACCAAGUCCUAAUGUUAUGAAAAGGGAGUCUUAAUAUCAUAAGAAUAAAAUUGUAGUUUUAAAGAAUAAUGUUGUGUAUAAAGUUUGAAUAUUAUGGGACAAAAAUCUAAAUUUUAUGAGAAUAAAGUUGUAAUGUUACACGAAAAAAGACUGAGAAUAAAGUUUUCAAAUGAUGAGAAAAAAGACUGAGAAACUAACGAGGCUUGGGCGUGACCCCUAAUAGCGCUAAGCCACGAGGGAGCGAGAUGAAGUGUAAACUGAACUGAGGAGCGAACAUACAGUAAAAGAUGACAGACCUGUGUAUAGAAUACCAGGUAAUAUCAGGAAAUGGGAAGGAAUAAACAAUCUGGUCGUAUACAGAGCUGUCAAGAAUUAACGCACACAAACAACAAACGUGAGAAAACGCAACCAGCUGGAUUAAAUAGCACCAUAACCGCUAAUAAGAGGCAGAUGUUUCCCGCUGCUACGCCGUAACUGAAGUCAAGGGGUGGAACUGAAAUAUAUAUAUAUAUAUAUAUAUAUAUAUAUAUAUAUUAUUAGAGUGAACAUUACAGUGUUUCGUCUAUACGUUGUGCCUUU